AUUGCCUUUGCUGGUGUUUUGUGAGUGAGCCCAGGAUAGGGUGUAAAUGCAGAGCUAUGUGGGUAUGGAAGCAGGGAACACCUUGCUGCUCUCCCCUCUUGGUGUGGAAAACAACAGGAGUGAUCACGGCAACACAGCAGAGCAGGAGUAAACAAGAUCUUACAUGAAGGUCAGGGUGUUGAAAGCUCUGUACUGUGUUUCAUCAUCAGUUGGCCCCUGUGCUGUUUGUGGGAUAGAUCUGAUGCAAUGAUUUUUUGCAGUUCUAAGUUGCAAUGGCUUCUAAUCAAAAGUUUAGAGAAGGUUUGUAUCUAGCUAAGAAAAUAAACUAUCUGACUAGGAAAAGCUAUCUUUGCUACUAAGAAGGGGAUGAGGGAGAGCUAAAAUAUACACUCUGCUGUACAGUAUUGGCCACUGAAAAUCUGUAUAAAAAAGGUACUAUGAGGCUUCCAAAGUUAUCAGUUUUAUUAAUCCAGCAUUCUGAGGGACCACCUAUUUUAUUUCUACAGCACUAACAAUGGGCAAAAAUGAAUCUGAUGGCUGAAGUGGUGCUGGUUGAGUAGGGAUGGGUGGGUGCUGGCAGCAGCAGGAGCCCCCAGCUGGGGUGGCAGCCCCUAUCCCCAUGUGAUUAGAGCACCUGCCUGCUGGUAAGUGGUGCUGGUGUUUUUUCACCUAAUGUUUUCCAAGUAUUGAUUUGUGUUCAGUUCACUGCUCAUGAUUUCUGCAGGAUCUCCAUUAGCAAUUCUGUUUAUACAGUUUUGUUUAUUAAAUAUUUGCACUGAGGAAAAUUAUCUUCUUUUAUUCACAGCCUGUACUCAAGGCACUAUAGACAGAUGUCUUUAAAUUCAGGGCAUGGAAACAAUGCUUCUUUGUUUUAUGAGCAAGAAAGCCCCAUAAUUUUCAGAUGACAUGUUCAUAACUUACUUCUAUUUUUGAAAUGUCUUUUUUCAAAAUAAAAUAAACUCAGUAUCCCUUUGAAACCCAUUAGGAAGUUUCUUUAUACACUGAGAAGUUACUUUAAACAUCCUAAAUUCAGUGUGGUUCUUAUAAAAGUGUCUGUGGUACUGAAGAACUAAGAGUCUGCUGAGCCACAGCUGAAGGAAAAUGGGGACACCACUGUCAGCAGCCCUAGCAAACUUUAAAGUAGAAUUCAAUUAUGUGUGGCUGAUUCGCCCACUCUGUUUUCCUCCAAUAUAUUCUCCUACAUUUGAUUAACUUUUUCUUUUUGGUUGCACAUCUCUGUCCAGGAGAAACAUUUAGCUCUUAUUUGAAAUCAGUGUAACACAGAUAUGUAGAGCAUUGGACAACUAACAGUUUUGCUAAACAGCAAUGACUUGGAGCAACAGCUGAAGAAAUUUAUUUGCUUGAAACUAGAAUUUGACAGCAAAAUGUGUUUUUGCUGGGAAAAAUAUGCUCAUCAGUAACUAGAAAAAUAAUCCAUACCCCUGUGAUUUGUAGUGGAAAAUGCUGCUGUAGUAUAUCAGCACAGAUAAUGCUUAAAUGCUCACAUUUUUUUCUUUUCUUGUAUUGAUCAGAUCUCUCAAUCAGACUACAUUUCUCAUGAGACAUCAUACAGCACUCCAGCCAAGGAUGGAGUCCACACUUAAUCCUUGCAGUAUGGCAGGACAGUGCAGCACCAUCUCAUAAUGGAUAGGUCUAGUUUAAAACUGCAAUUUUAAGUACUUUUUUAAAUUUGUUUUGGGAAAAGGAUCGUGUGUGUAUAUGAAUGCCAGGUCUACUGGCUAUUGAAAACUGUACUCUUUACUCAGGAUGCAUAGAUUUGAUUAUACAAUCCUGCUGGAACAGUUUUUGAAUCAAUAUCAGUACUAUUCACUUAAUGAAUGUUAAAAAAGAAAGGAAGAAAGAAAACUGAUGUUUCUAAACAGCUCUAUUAUCAGCUGCUAAGAGGAAUAACCACCUUUUUAUUUAAAAGAAUGGUUGUUUGGGGAUAUAAUGAUUAUUUGUAGAGCACUGGGAUAUAGGAGGGAGAAUUUAGUUAAACUGAGUGCAUAAAAUCAUGCUGUGUUCCUUGAUAUCACCUCACAGACUGGUUUAUUUCCAGUGUCACCUUCUCUGUUUUGUAAUCUGUAUGCAUAGUGAAUAAACUCUACGCCUAAGGACUUGGACUUGAUGAUCCUUAGGGGACCUUUCCAACUCAGGGUAUUCUGUCAUCCUGAUUCUACUUUCUUUGAAGUGCAUCCAUGACAUUUACCUGCAAGGCAAAGCUUGCUCUUCUCCUCAGUAAACUGAUGGAGGGACACCUUAAAAUCCUUGGAGUCCAGGCACCUGCAAAAUGUGGGGAGUAUAUGGUCACUGCCUGCUUUCACUUAUUAGUGACCGGACUUGAACUUCACCGGCUUAUGGCUCAGGCUAUAGCACAGGCAAGAGCAAAAUCCAUCUGGAAGAAGAAAAAACAAAGUCAAGGUGAAAACAAGAUCUUUCCAACAUCAUUCCUGUAGUGGAGAGGUGCUCCAGCCCUGUGAUCAUCUUCACAGCCUCCUCUGGACCCACUCAAACAACUCUGCAUGCUCCUCCAGAUCUGGACACACUAUAUCAGUUCCAGUACAAUGUCCAAUUCCAGGUGCCUGUCUGGAGGAGGAGAAGAGCUACAUUCCCCAGGGGGCUUUGCGAUCAGUGAGGAGAUACAACUCCUGAUAAGAUUAAAUUAUGCUCGUACCUGUUGAGAAUGAAAGGAAAAGAAAUCAAGCACAAAAAUAUUCUCUUUUUACCCAGAAAUUGUUAAAUUCUCAGAGUUACCCUGCGUGUCAAGUCAAUACAGUCAUCUUCGCUUAUAGAAUGAGGGGUAAGAUUUUGUCUCCUUCCAUCCAAAAGACAGGCCUGACCAUGCUAGACAGACAACAAGCAUAUCAGAAGCACUGGAGUAAAAAACUCAUUCAUUGAAGUGGUCAUAGAAAUGACCACUCCUCUUCAGAGUUAGGCACAGAGACUCCAGGUGCACUGGUACCUUCACAUGAGCAAAUAUGAUCAGAACAAGAAUCUCUGAGCUCAGGUCUCAGCAAUAUCCUGGUUUAUGGGCAUCUCCCAGCGUAGGUUUUUAUAUUACCAUCUGUGCUUGGACCUGCAGAACUUGCAACAGUAUAGUUUAAACCUCAUGCCAAAGAGAAGAUGAACACAUCUGCUAUAAUAAUCUAUGUGUGAAAGAGACUUCAAAUGAAACUUAGCUAACAACCUGACCCUGCUGUCUCAAGUUAUCCAGCUCACAAAUCAGGGACUUACAAAUGCAAACUGGUGAUACAACGAACACAACUGUAUUCCUGUACCCAGGAAGACAAAUUUCACAGCACUUCCCAUCAAGAAGUGGAAAGAGCAACAUCAUCUUUUCUAAGAAGUAGAAUCACAAAAUCAUGACAGCCUAUGUUGGAAGGGAGCCAAAUCAUCUGAUCCAACCAUUCAUGGAAAAGAAUGCCAAGACAAGGUUAUCUAAGUUGUUUGUUUGCAUCGUGAUAACCUAAAUUGGUGGGGACUUUCAGAAAAUUUCUCCCCUUCUUUCAGAAGGACACAGGAUUCUGUGGUGUACCAGAGAAUUGUGUUCUGGGUCGUCCAGUGCAAAAAUGAUGUGAGCGUACUGAAGGGAUUCCAGCAGAGGGCCACCAAGAUCCUGGAGCACCUGUCAUGUGAGACUGGGAAUGGUCAGCCUUGGAAACAAGAGGCUCAGGGGCAUUUCGUCAAUGUUUGUAAACAUUUGAAGGCAAAGUGCAAGGCUCUCUGCAGUGGUGGUACCUAAUGUCAAGGCAAGAGGCAAUAGGCACAAACUGGAACAGAAACUUUCAUCUAAGCAUCAGGAAGCAAUUCUGUGCUCUGUGGUUGACAGCACUGGCACAGGUUGCCCAGAGGUGGUGGAGUCUCCUUGGAUAUCUUCCAGAGUCACCUGGAUGUGGACCUGGGCACUCUACUUUCAUGUCCCUGCUGGAGCUCAGGUUAGACCAGAUCACUUCGAACUUCAACCAUUCUGUGGUUCUGUGAUUCUGUGGCAUACAUGAACAUUUCACACCUAAUGAUGAAUCACUCCUUUGGCUCAGAUGGACCUCUGAAUUUAUUCCUCAGUGUCUCUAAGAUUUUUUUGGACCAAAGACAGCACAAAUAAGAUAGCUGCAGAAGUCUCCAUGAGGACUGUGUGAAACCUGAAUAUCCCUGAGAAAAUCAGCUCAACCCUUUAAUUUGCCAGCACAAUAGAUACUCAGCUGAAAGACUGAAAGGACAAUAUUCCCUGUUAUUCUUCAAACCUACCAAUUCAUCCAAACUCAUGAGGAUGAUCUAAGGAACAAACAGGUGCUAAUUCAUUCCAUUCACCCUCCAGGUUUCAUUUCAGUAUGUCACAACUGCCAGUAAAGCAGAAAUAGAUUGUUUUUAGCAAGUGCACUGUUUUCCUCUAAAAAGUAUAUAGCUCUAAGGCAGGAGAGCUGGAACUCACUGUGCACGUUAAUUAGUUGUCUCUUUAGUCCAAAGACUCUCUGGGCCCUACAGCCACAUCCACACAACACAGCAGGUACUUCAUACUGCAGUUUAACAUGAUGUCUGCUUGCUGCUCUCACUUCUGUGGAAAACUCAGAAAAAGCAUCAUUAUUUUAGGAUGACAAGACAAGAAAGAAAAGAUGCCAAAAUGUGGAACAAAAAUUAAAAAAAUGACAGACCAAAAAUUUGACAAUAAAAAACAGCCUUUUAAAGCAACCCCUCAGGGUAACAGUACCUAAAGAAAUUCAUACUGAGUCUUCACCCUUCACUGAUGUAUGUGUUUGUUUCAAACUACUGUAAAAGCCAUUUCCCAGAGCUAGAGCUAACAACACAUUUGGACAUGUUCCAUUGAUUAAUUUAUUUUUCAUGAAGGACUAUUAGAUAUCUUUGACUUGGAGUUGUUGCUGCUUUAAUAUUUUCCAGGAUGGAAGCACAACCAAUAUUCAUUAUGCCUUUGCAGAAAAAAACAAACAAAUGAAAAAAACCAUAGUAGUGAAGUUAUUGAGUCCUGAACUCAAAUACAUCUAUUUGCCCAUCCAUCAAACUUAGAAAGCAAUCCACUCUUGAUGCAAUGGAUAAAAUACUUGAGUAAAAGUAUGUAUGUAAAUAAAAUAACUACAAAUGUACACAUUUUCCCUUAUAUAAAUAUGGGGGGAAAAAAAAAAGUGCCUGUACAUAACUGCAGUGAUGAUAUCUUUAAAAUGGAUUGAUACCUGCUCUCUCUGACUGGAGGCUUGAAUUUUUCUGGCUCAUUUAUGUCUAGAAUUGGUGUUCUUUGUAGCUGUCAUUAAUUCUUGCCCUUAAUAAAAUCAGUAAAGUCUUCCCAGUGACACAGUAAUUCUGUGUGCUAGCAGUAAUGGGUCUUAACUCCAGGAUGCAUGUAAGGAAAUUCCAACAGGCUUUUCCUAUUUUGAUUCACUAAAUCCUUAGAGUAGCUUAUCAAUUGCAGAAUCACUGCUGUAAUAAAUAGGUCUCAAGAGGGAUGAAGUGAAUUCCUGAUUAUUGUUAUUAUUAUUAUUACUUCCAUCUAGGAUACUCAAAGAAGAAGAGCAUUCCAUUGGUCAUGUAUAUAAUCUGACAGCUAUCCUGAAAGCAUUUAUUUCAAGCGUUCCCCCUUUCCCCUUCCAAAAAUAAGAUUAUUCUGAACAGACAGACUGAAUGGGUAUCAGUCUUAGCCACAGAAGGACAUCCCAUCUGCAAUACCAGAAUUCAAACAGUUUUGAAGGUGCAGUAUGGUAUAUACAGACUUUCUGCUAGGAGAUUUUGGUAUCAUUAUUCAAUUUAUGGUUGUCUGGCACACAGCAGAAUUUUUUGCUGAUGUUUAGCAGUAACAUGAGAUUAAAGCUUAUAAUCAAACAGUCUGACCUAAAGAUCGCAUUGACUUGCCACAGUCUCAGAAUGGCUUUACUUAUAUUUAUAUUUAAGGGUAUUUGUUCACAUCUGGGUGUAGUGGGAAUGCUGUCAUGGGGUGAAGCAGUGAUUGAGCACCUGGUUUGAAGGCAGGGCCAAUCUAGGGGAUCUCAGGUGUAUGCAAUGCACAUGAGUGAACCAGAAGGUGUGGAGUCAGGAUACAGCCCUUCACAGACCUUGCAUAGGGUUAGCAGUGAAAGUAAGGAUAUCUUGCUGGAGUUCCCUGUGCAUUUGGGGCCUUUUAAGGGUAAGUAGAGUCUUUCCUUUAUUUCUGUGUCUAUGGUUGCUCUCUUUGAGCAAGUCCUCAGGUGCUGGAGCCUCAGACUUUGCUACUAUGUUGUCAUUGCUGUGCUAUCCAUUGUGUUACAGUGUUAUAAUGUGUGUGCUUUGAAGAGUAAGCUCAAAGUUUUGUGCUUAUUUGCCGGCAAUCACUUGGAAGGCUCAGGUUAUAAGUUUCUGUAGAAAACAGUAAGUUAUGAUUCAUGUUAUGCUUUUGCCUUUGUAGGUUGUUUCAGGUCUAAAGCUUUACCUGUGUAUCUGGAGUAUUCCUUGGGUCACAGGAAAAAGGAGCAAGUUCUCCUUUCCUUGAAUUAUUACUGAAAAAAGCACUGAGAUCUCUAAGAAAACUGUAAGAAGCCUGGGAUCUCUUAAAUCUGAAGCUGGUUCUUAUAUCAUGAAAAGAAAAUCUUCUCAACUAGUUCUUCCUUUGCUGUGUCAAUACACUUCUGAUGUUUCUGCAGUACUUUUAGUUUCCCCUUCAAAGGUUUCGUACAGGCAAUUAGGGAGAUGUGAAUUUCUGCUACCUCGCAGCUUCUGAUGCACUUCUGCAACAUGAAAAAAGCUGAGACUGAAAGCUGACUUGUGCAGUCCCUCAAGGAUAUUUUUAAUCCUCAUUCCUCUUUUGCAGAUAUACAUCUAAGUCUUCCCAAUAAAUAAAUACAAUGAAUAAAUA